ACUUUAGAAAAAAUAAACCCUCUGCUCCGACAUCCCAUUGUUAAGACCAUAGCUAGGCUUUUGUGGAUCACCUCCCAUUAACUAAAAUCUGAAUCAACAAUAACAAGCUAAAUUACUUUUCUCUAGCUUAUUAACACAUUUAAAUCAGCCAAGAUGAUAC